CCCCUCUCAGGAUGGUACCUGGAGAGUUUCCAGUACUCUACCAGUACCGACUACGGGAGGGAGAGUCAAGCAGGGGCAUACCCAUUUCAUUCCUAGCUUGGCCAGUGGCUAGCAAGUGGAAGGCGAUCCGCUACAGGU